rnacentral:rRNA from 1 species
UCGAGCGGAACGAUGGAGCUUGCUCCAGGCGUCGAGCGGCGGACGGGUGAGUAAUGCAUAGGAAUCUGCCCGAUAGUGGGGGAUAACCUGGGGAAACCCAGGCUAAUACCGCAUACGUCCUACGGGAGAAAGCAGGGGAUCUUCGGACCUUGCGCUAUCGGAUGAGCCUAUGUCGGAUUAGCUUGUUGGUGAGGUAAUGGCUCACCAAGGCGACGAUCCGUAGCUGGUCUGAGAGGAUGAUCAGCCACAUCGGGACUGAGACACGGCCCGAACUCCUACGGGAGGCAGCAGUGGGGAAUAUUGGACAAUGGGCGAAAGCCUGAUCCAGCCAUGCCGCGUGUGUGAAGAAGGCUUUCGGGUUGUAAAGCACUUUCAGUGAGGAAGAACGCCUCGGGGCCAAUACCCCCGAGGAAGGACAUCACUCACAGAAGAAGCACCGGCUAACUCCGUGCCAGCAGCCGCGGUAAUACGGAGGGUGCAAGCGUUAAUCGGAAUUACUGGGCGUAAAGCGCGCGUAGGUGGCUUGAUAAGCCGGUUGUGAAAGCCCCGGGCUCAACCUGGGAACGGCAUCCGGAACUGUCAGGCUAGAGUGCAGGAGAGGAAGGUAGAAUUCCCGGUGUAGCGGUGAAAUGCGUAGAGAUCGGGAGGAAUACCAGUGGCGAAGGCGGCCUUCUGGACUGACACUGACACUGAGGUGCGAAAGCGUGCGUAGCAAACAGGAUUAGAUACCCUGGUAGUCCACGCCGUAAACGAUGUCGACUAGCCGUUGGGGUCC